rnacentral:rRNA from 1 species
CCUACGGGUGGCAGCAGUGGGGAAUAUUGGACAAUGGGGGCAACCCUGAUCCAGCCAUGCCGCGUGUGUGAAGAAGGCCCUCGGGUUGUAAAGCACUUUCAGUGAGGAAGAACGCCUGGUGGUUAAUACCCAUCAGGAAAGACAUCACUCACAGAAGAAGCACCGGCUAACUCCGUGCCAGCAGCCGCGGUAAUACGGAGGGUGCGAGCGUUAAUCGGAAUUACUGGGCGUAAAGCGCGCGUAGGUGGCUUGAUAAGCCGGUUGUGAAAGCCCCGGGCUCAACCUGGGAACGGCAUCCGGAACUGUCAAGCUAGAGUGCAGGAGAGGAAGGUAGAAUUCCCGGUGUAGCGGUGAAAUGCGUAGAGAUCGGGAGGAAUACCAGUGGCGAAGGCGGACUUCUGGACUGACACUGACACUGAGGUGCGAAAGCGUGGGUAGCAAACAGGAUUAGAUACCCCAGUAGUC